rnacentral:lncRNA from 1 species
GGCAUACAGGCAGAAAAACAGGUGGAUAGGCAUACAGGCAGAAAAACAGGUGGAUAGGCAUACAGGCAGAAAAACAGGUGGAUAGGCAGAAAGACAGACGGAUAGGCAGACAGGCAGAAAGACAGAUGGAUAGGCAGACAGGCAGAAAGACAGACGGAUAGGCAUACAGGCAGAAAAACAGGUGGAUAGGCAGACAGGCAGAAAAACAGGUGGAUAGGCAUACAGGCAGAAAAACAGUUGGAUAGGCAUACAGGCAGAAAAACAGGUGGAUAGGCAGAAAGACAGACGGAUAGGCAGACAGGCAGAAAGACAGAUGGAUAGGCAGACAGGCAGAAAAACAGGUGGAUAGGCAGACAGGCAGAAAGACAGACGGAUAGGCAGACAGGCAGAAAAACAGGUGGAUAGGCAGACAGGCAGAAAGACAGACGGAUAGGCAGACAGGCAGAAAGACAGACGGAUAGGCAGACAGGCAGAAAGACAGACGGAUAGGCAGACAGGCAGAAAGACAGACGGAUAGGCAGACAGGCAGAAAGACAGACGGAUAGGCAGACAGGCAGAAAGACAGACGGAUAGGCAGACAGGCAGAAAGACAGAUGGAUAGGCAGACAGGCAGAAAAACAGGUGGAUAGGCAGACAGGCAGAAAGACAGACGGAUAGGCAGACAGGCAGAAAAACAGGUGGAUAGGCAGACAGGCAGAAAGACAGACGGAUAGGCAGACAGGCAGAAAAACAGGUGGAUAGGCAGACAGGCAGAAAGACAGACGGAUAGGCAGACAGGCAGAAAGACAGAUGGAUAGGCAGACAGGCAGAAAAACAGGUGGAUAGGCAGACAGGCAGAAAGACAGACGGAUAGGCAGACAGGCAGAAAAACAGGUGGAUAGGCAGACAGGCAGAAAGACAGACGGAUAGGCAGACAGGCAGAAAGACAGAUGGAUAGGCAGACAGGCAGAAAGACAGACGGAUAGACAGACAGGCAGAAAAACAGGUGGAUAGGCAGACAGGCAGAAAGACAGAUGGAUAGGCAGACAGGCAGAAAGACAGACGGAUAGGCAGACAGGCAGAAAGACAGAUGGAUAGGCAGACAGGCAGAAAGACAGACACCUUUCAGUCUAAUAACACCUCUGUGGUUUAGCUACAUUUCAGAAUGAACAGAACAUUGAC